rnacentral:rRNA from 2 species
CCGCGACCCCAGGUCAGAC